AUGUCUGUUAUGUUCAAGCGCGAAAGUGUUGCCGAUGACAACAUGCCUGUGUGUCCGCACAAGAGGAUUGAGUGGGGUACCUUUGAUGGGUUGUCGUUGUCAUGUCCAAGCGAAAUUCUGGAGAAGUUGUUACCGCACAGUCCUGCAAGAAAGAAUCUGUUGAUAGAGUUCCUAGAUAGAGACAUACAGGUUCAAAGAAGUGGUUGGUUCAUUGCAAAAAUAAAAAAAAGUAAGUGCACUAUUGUUUAUGUUACCCCAAUCGCAUCUCACAUUACCUUUUCUUCUCCACCUACCUACUCCGAGUUCAGCAUAGGUCCCACAUCACCACAGAAUUUUGGAUCGAAAACAAUCAUAUUGGUCAUUAUCCACAGAGGUCAGUUAUAA
rnacentral:rRNA from 1 species